rnacentral:rRNA from 1 species
GACGAACGCUGGCGGCGUGCUUAACACAUGCAAGUCGAACGGUAAGGCCCUUUCGGGGGUACACGAGUGGCGAACGGGUGAGUAACACGUGGGUGAUCUGCCCUGCACUUUGGGAUAAGCCUGGGAAACUGGGUCUAAUACCGGAUAGGACUACGCAAUGCAUGUCGUGUGGUGGAAAGCUUUUGCGGUGUGGGAUGGGCCCGCGGCCUAUCAGCUUGUUGGUGGGGUGAUGGCCUACCAAGGCGACGACGGGUAGCCGGCCUGAGAGGGUGUCCGGCCACACUGGGACUGAGAUACGGCCCAGACUCCUACGGGAGGCAGCAGUGGGGAAUAUUGCACAAUGGGCGCAAGCCUGAUGCAGCGACGCCGCGUGGGGGAUGACGGCCUUCGGGUUGUAAACCCCUUUCAGCACAGACGAAGCGUAAGUGACGGUAUGUGCAGAAGAAGCACCGGCCAACUACGUG